rnacentral:rRNA from 1 species
AGUGAACGCUGGCGGUAGGCCUAACACAUGCAAGUCGAACGGCAGCACAGUAAGAGCUUGCUCUUACGGGUGGCGAGUGGCGGACGGGUGAGGAAUACAUCGGAAUCUACUUUUUCGUGGGCGAUAACGUAGGGAAACUUGCGCUAAUACCGCAUACGACCUACGGGUGAAAGCAGGGGAUCUUCGGACCUUGCGCGAUUGAAUGAGCCGAUGUCGGAUUAGCUAGUUGGCGGGGUAAAGGCCCACCAAGGCGACGAUCCGUAGCUGGUCUGAGAGGAUGAUCAGCCACACUGGAACUGAGACACGGUCCAGACUCCUACGGGAGGCAGCAGUGGGGAAUAUUGGACAAUGGGCGCAAGCCUGAUCCAGCCAUACCGCGUGGGUGAAGAAGGCCUUCGGGUUGUAAAGCCCUUUUGUUGGGAAAGAAAAGCAGCAGGUUAAUACCCCGCUGUUCUGACGGUACCCAAAGAAUAAGCACCGGCUAACUUCGUG